GAAAAGGACAUCAAGAUUGCUGCCUCUGGAUAACAUACUAACAUUUGGUGGAGAUUGUUGCACUGUGAAUAUAGAGAACAGACAUCCUUAGUCAGCGUUUACACAUCAAACCCCUGCCCAUAGAAAAUGCUGUCAGCGCACAUCCACCUGUACCACGGAACUGGACAAUGAUUCCACAUUCAAAAUCUUCCAUUAGCCAUCCAGCUUAGACUGGGAAGCCAUGAACACAACACUCCAGGUAUAGAAUCCUCUAAUAUGGAAUCCUCUUCAAUACAUGCGGUCAUAGAAUCAUCUUACAGUAAAGGCCAACAUAUUCACAGUACCCAUGGGAUCCACGGUGACCACUAGGAUUCAGAACUGACUUGCCCAUAAAAGAUGGUGGGUCUUAUUCUACCUGGAAGUCCAUGACCAGUGGUGCUCCGCAGGGAUCCGCACUGGGACCUCUGCUGUUUGCAAUAAAUGUAAAAGGCCUGGAUGGAUGGGUUGUUCUGGCUGUUUGAACCUUGUUGAACAACUUCCCGUUUGGGACUUUAUUGAAAAUCUUCUGAAAAUCCAAAUCCAAGGAGAAUAACCUCAGCUGAGAGUCAGACGCUCAUGGAUUCAUCUGGCACAGAGAGAAGUCCCUUGGCCCACCAUGUCCAUGUCGAUCAUCAGUUGUGGCCAUGUGGACACUGAAAAAGCCAGAGGGGAGACGUAAGAUGGCACCGGAGCAUGGCGACUCGUUGCAAGCUGCUCUCUACAAAUCUACUCAUUACCCUUACUAUAAUCAUUCUGCACUUUUAAAUUUAAACUCUACCGGUACUACAUCAAUGCAUUUUGUACAACCCAAUGUAACUGCACUGUGUAAUGAAUUGACCUGUACAAUCAGUAUGCAAGACAAGUUUUUCACUGUACCUCGGUACAAGUGACAAUA